rnacentral:rRNA from 1 species
UACGGGGGGUGCGAGCGUUGUCCGGAUUCACUGGGCGUAAAGGGCGCGUAGGCGGCAAUUCAAGUCAGCUGUGAAAUCUCCGGGCUUAACUCGGAACGGUCAGCUGAUACUGCUUUGCUAGAGUGCAGAAGGGGCAAUCGGAAUUCUUGGUGUAGCGGUGAAAUGCGUAGAUAUCAAGAGGAACACCUGAGGUGAAGACGGGUUGCUGGGCUGACACUGACGCUGAGGCGCGAAAGCUAGGGUAGCAAACGGG